rnacentral:lncRNA from 1 species
CCUCUCUUUUUGUCUAAUCUUACAAAUAAACUUCAAAACAAAUAUAUCAAACCAAUCAACUCAACUAAAACUCAGCGACACAUACAUUGAGCCAGCUAAACAAAUAUAAACUACACAGCCAAAUAUUUAACAAUUUACAAACUUACUUUCACAUAUGCUUAUGAAAAAGACGAAGACGACAACCAAGAUCAGUGAAAUUAUCUAAACAAAAAAGCAGAGUAAGUUACAAACUCUAAUAAAUACAACUAACAAUGAUUUUUGUUUACAUAUUACCCAUCAAAUAA